AUCCAGCUGACGAGUCUCGGAUAGGACGAAACAUGCGUCCUGGAC
rfam:Schistosoma mansoni strain Puerto Rico chromosome 6, complete genome